CCUACGGGUGGCAGCAGUGGGGAAUAUUGCGCAAUGGGGGGAACCCUGACGCAGCCAUGCCGCGUGAAUGAAGAAGGCCUUCGGGUUGUAAAGCUCUUUCGGUGAUGAGGAAGGUGAUAAGGUUCAUACCCUUAUUCAUUGACGUUAGUCACAGAAGAAGCACCGGCUAACUCCGUGCCAGCAGCCGCGGUAAUACGGAGGGUGCGAGCGUUAAUCGGAAUAACUGGGCGUAAAGGGCACGGAGGCGGAUUUUUAAGUGAGGUGUGAAAGGCCCGGGCUUAACCUGGGAAUUGCAUUUCAGACUGGGAAGCUAGAGUGCGUUAGAGGGGAGUAGAAUUCCAAGUGUAGCGGUGAAAUGCGUAGAGAUGUGGAGGAAUACCGAAGGCGAAGGCAGCCCAUUGGGAAGGUACUGACGCUCAUGUGCGAAAGCGUGGGGAGCAAACAGGAUUAGAUACCCCGGUAGUC
rnacentral:rRNA from 1 species